GAUGAACGCUGGCGGCAUGCCUAAUACAUGCAAGUCGAACGAGAGGAAGGAAAGCUUGCUUUCCUGAAUCUAGUGGCGAACGGGUGAGUAACACGUAGGUAACCUGCCCAUGUGCCCGGGAUAACUUCUGGAAACGGAUGCUAAAACCGGAUAGGUAGCAGACAAGCAUUUGACUACUAUUAAAGUGGCCUUGGCCAUGAACAUGGAUGGACCUGCGGUGCAUUAGCUAGUUGGUGAGGUAACGGCCCACCAAGGCGACGAUGCAUAGCCGGCCUGAGAGGGCCGACGGCCACAUUGGGACUGAGACACGGCCCAAACUCCUACGGGAGGCAGCAGUAGGGAAUUGUCGUCAAUGGGGGGAACCCUGAACGAGCAAUGCCGCGUGAGUGAGGAAGGUCUUCGGAUCGUAAAGCUCUGUUGUAAGAGAAAAACGGCACUCAUAGGGAAUGAUGAGUGAGUGAUGGUAUCUUACCAGAAAGUCACGGCUAACUACGUGCCAGCCGCCGCAGUAAGAC
rnacentral:rRNA from 1 species